UGCCAGCAGCCGCGGUAAUACGGAGGGUGCAGGCGUUAUCCGGAUUUAUUGGGUUUAAAGGGUGCGCAGGCGGACUAUUAAGUCAGAGGUGAAAUCCCAGGGCUCAACCCUGGAACUGCCUUUGAUACUGGUAGUCUUGAAUACGGUUGAAGUAGGCGGAAUGUAGCAUGUAGCGGUGAAAUGCAUAGAGAUGCUACAGAACACCGAUCGCGAAGGCAGCUUACUAAGCCGAUAUUGACGCUCAGGCACGAAAGCGUGGGGAGCGAACAGGAUUAGAUA
rnacentral:rRNA from 1 species